AUGCGCUAUGAUGAGCGAUACACACCGUAUGUAAGGGAGACAGGGCUCCUCCCUUUCAUUCAUUUGGUCAGCCAGUCGACGCCACCUCUCAAUGCUGCAGCAAUCACCGCGCUUAUUGAUCGUCGGGGGACAGAGACACAUAGUGUCCAUCUUCGGACCGGGGAGAUGACCGUGACAUUCCAGGAUAUUGCUAUGAUCACCGAUCUUCCUAUCGAGGGGAAUCCUCUAUGUAUGAGCACCGAUUCUGAUGGGUAG
rnacentral:rRNA from 1 species